rnacentral:rRNA from 1 species
GAUGAACGCUGGCGGCGUGCCUAACACAUGCAAGUCGAACGAGAAGUGAAGACGGAAACCUUCGGGCGGAAGGCUUUAUUUCGAGUGGCGGACGGGUGAGUAACGCGUGGGUAACCUGCCUCAUACAGGGGGAUAACAGUUGGAAACGACUGUUAAUACCGCAUAAGACCACAGCACCGCAUGGUGCGGGGGUAAAAACUCCGGUGGUAUGAGAUGGACCCGCGUUCGAUUAGCCAGUUGGCGGGGUAACGGCCCACCAAAGCGACGAUCGAUAGCCGAUCUGAGAGGAUGACCGGCCACAUUGGGACUGAGACACGGCCCAAACUCCUACGGGAGGCAGCAGUGGGGAAUAUUGCACAAUGGGGGAAACCCUGAUGCAGCGACGCCGCGUGAGUGAAGAAGUAUUUCGGUAUGUAAAGCUCUAUCAGCAGGGAAGAAAAUGACGGUACCUGAGUAAGAAGCCCCGGCUAACUACGUG